rnacentral:misc_RNA from 1 species
CUUUUUUUGCCUUAUUAACAAAAUUUCCACAAUCUGGACUUGUGUCAAAGUGAAAAACCGACAGAAAUUUCAAAACUGAAAUUUCAGAGGAAAUUUAUUUGAUUUUAUCUGCAUAUAGCUUGUGAUCUUGACAUCUGACAUGCAAGACAGCCGCAGAAAACAUUUCCUACAACUGUGAUCAUCAACAUGGUAAUGAAAUAAAUCCCAGAUUAAUGCAGCUAAGCACAAGCCAUACAUAUAAGGCAUGACCACAAUCUUCUGUGAUGACAUUAAUUUACUGUUCAUGAAGAUGCUGAGCAAGUGAGCAUGCCUUUCACAUACAAUCUUCAAUAACAGUUGGAGAAAUUCAAACAAUAUCUGCAAGUAUCUGAAGUUCUGAACCCUGAAGGUUUUUAGGGAAAAGCGUAUUGUUUGGUCUAAAUUUUCCUGCCGGUUUAUGCAUCACCUCACUAUCCCAUAUUGUCUAAUCAGAUGCUGAGGAAGCCCUUCUCCUUCAAGCUUUCAA